UGCUGAAGCAACAAAUGCCCUGCUUCCAGGAAAAGCCUCUAAGCAUCAGGUAACAUCAAAUCGUACCCCAAACCGACACAGGUGGUCAGGUAGAGAAUACCAAGGCGCUUGAGAGAACUCGGGUGAAGGAACUAGGCAAAAUGGUGCCGUAACUUCGGGAGAAGGCACGCUGACACGUAGGUGAAGUGAUUUACUCAUGGAGCUGAAGUCAGUCGAAGAUACCAGCUGGCUGCAACUGUUUAUUAAAAACACAGCACUGUGCAAACACGAAAGUGGACGUAUACGGUGUGACGCCUGCCCGGUGCCGGAAGGUUAAUUGAUGGGGUCAGCGCAAGCGAAGCUCCUGAUCGAAGCCCCGGUAAACGGCGGCCGUAACUAUAACGGUCCUAAGGUAGCGAAAUUCCUUGUCGGGUAAGUUCCGACCUGCACGAAUGGCGUAAUGAUGGCCAGGCUGUCUCCACCCGAGACUCAGUGAAAUUGAACUCGCUGUGAAGAUGCAGUGUACCCGCGGCAAGACGGAAAGACCCCGUGAACCUUUACUAUAGCUUGACACUGAACAUUGAGCCUUGAUGUGUAGGAUAGGUGGGAGGCUUUGAAGUGUGGACGCCAGUCUGCAUGGAGCCGACCUUGAAAUACCACCCUUUAAUGUUUGAUGUUCUAACGUGGACCCGUGAUCCGGGUUGCGGACAGUGUCUGGUGGGUAGUUUGACUGGGGCGGUCUCCUCCUAAAGAGUAACGGAGGAGCACGAAGGUUGGCUAAUCCUGGUCGGACAUCAGGAGGUUAGUGCAAUGGCAUAAGCCAGCUUGACUGCGAGCGUGACGGCGCGAGCAGGUGCGAAAGCAGGUCAUAGUGAUCCGGUGGUUCUGAAUGGAAGGGCCAUCGCUCAACGGAUAAAAGGUACUCCGGGGAUAACAGGCUGAUACCGCCCAAGAGUUCAUAUCGACGGCGGUGUUUGGCACCUCGAUGUCGGCUCAUCACAUCCUGGGGCUGAAGUAGGUCCCAAGGGUAUGGCUGUUCGCCAUUUAAAGUGGUACGCGAGCUGGGUUUAGAACGUCGUGAGACAGUUCGGUCCCUAUCUGCCGUGGGCGCUGGAGAACUGAGGGGGGCUGCUCCUAGUACGAGAGGACCGGAGUGGACGCAUCACUGGUGUUCGGGUUGUCAUGCCAAUGGCACUGCCCGGUAGCUAAAUGCGGAAGAGAUAAGUGCUGAAAGCAUCUAAGCACGAAACUUGCCCCGAGAUGAGUUCUCCCUGAGACUUUAAGUCUCCUGAAGGAACGUUGAAGACGACGACGUUGAUAGGCCGGGUGUGUAAGCGCAGCGAUGCGUUGAGCUAACCGGUACUAAUGAACCGUGAGGCUUAACCUUACA
rnacentral:rRNA from 1 species